rnacentral:rRNA from 1 species
UACAGAGGUCCCAAGCGUUGUUCGGAUUCAUUGGGCGUAAAGGGUGCGUAGGCGGCGCGGUAAGUCGGGCGUGAAAUCUCGGGGCUUAACUCCGAAACUGCAUUCGAUACUGCCGUGCUUGAGGACUGGAGAGGAGACUGGAAUUUACGGUGUAGCGGUGAAAUGCGUAGAUAUCGUGAGGAAGACCAGUGGCGAAGGCGGAUCUCUGGACAGUUCCUGACGCUGAGGCGCGAAGGCCAGGGGAGCAAACGGG